rnacentral:lncRNA from 1 species
UUUUGAGUUACAAGGCUUUGUGAUGAAUUGGAGAAUAAAUUUGUUUGCAAUCCAGCAAGCUGUUUGGAGGUUAAUAUUUUCAUGUGAACUCAACCCAUUGAAGUUGAUUUCAAUGUUUCUUUGUGUGGAGGAUUAUUACAAAUCAGGGUAAUGGCACAUAUUCUUAUACUGUAAGUGACAUGAUAAGUGUCAACAGAUUGUAAGAGAGUUUCCUCUGAUAACCUUUAUUUUAGUAAAUCCUUUUAAUUUCUGAGUGUCAGAUUGCUACAUCUGGAAAUUAAGAAACUUAGACUAAUAAUUAAUAUUUGUAUUCCUUUAUAAGUCAUACUUGAUACAUGUAUAUUUAUAUGAUAUCAAUUAUUAUGGUUUAGAUGCGGUGUCCCACAAAAGCUCACAUACAAGACAAUGCAAGAAGAUUUGGAGGAGAAAUGAUUGGGUUAUAAUCUUACCCCAAUCAGUGAAUUGAUCCCUGAUGGGAUUAACUGAGUGAUAACUAAAGGCAGAUGGUGUGUGGCUGGAGAAGUGAUUCAUUGUGGGCAUGGCUAUGGGGCAUAUAUUUUGUAUCUUGAGAGUGGAGUCUCCCUCUGCUUCCUGAUCAUCAUGUGAGCUGCUUCCCUCCUGCAUACUCUUCCACCAUGAUGUUCAGCCUCACCUCGACCCCUGAAGAAUAGGAGCCAGCUGCCUUUGGACUGAGACCUCUGAAACCAUGAACCCUCAGAUCUUUUAGUCACAGCAGUGUAAAAGAGGACUAAAAAACAUCAAUUGACCAUAAACUUUUUCUCAUCCCCAUGAUUCAGUGAAUUCAGAUUCAUUUUAAAAGAGAGGAAGGGGGAAGGUGGCUUAUCUACCAGGAAGAAUGCAUUUUAUUAUAAAGACUGGAUUAAAAAAAAUCUCUUGACAGUUUAGGUGACCAACCUGAGAAAGUUACUUUUAAGGAUUAAAUGAUAUAAUCUACCUAAAAUUCUUAGCAUCUGCAGCUCCCAACAUUAAGUUGCUGAAUAAAAAUUGUUAUUACUUUUUCUACUAUAUUGUUAUUGUUCCUUCCCACCUGUAAUAUUCCCUCUACGCAUUCCCCUACUCACUUCUUUUUGCCUUAGAGAAGACAGUAUCAGAUAUCAGCAGGUUUAAUGAUUUUAGAGAAAUAUCAACCUCACCUAACAUCUUUGUAAAAAC